rnacentral:piRNA from 1 species
UACAGUUUUGUGUGUUCCUAAAUCCAGCAU